GAGAAAAUGCAAUGUUUUCCAGUGAGGAGAAUGAGACAGCAGAGAGAGAGAGAGCUUCCCACUUGACAUCAUUUUGUGAAAUUUUUUGAGUUUUGGAUCAUAUUAUUUCAGUCAGCCUUCUAGAGAAUGCUCAUCAACACUGUGUCCUGCUGACUGCCUUAGCCAGAGUUUAAGGUGAAAGUCCUUCUGGAUCCCUUGGGAGAAGAGGAGGCCAGCUGUAUUCCUCUGUGAGACUCAGGCUAUGCUGAUUGAGAAGUCAAGCUUUGAUGAUUGUCCCUACUCUGUGGACUCACAGGCACGUGAGUCAGCUACACACUUCUGAGGAUGCGUGUCUGAGAGAAACCGUCACAUAUUCAUCACUUGAAGUGACAAGGCUGGCCCAGACUGGGAUUUUGCUUUUGCUGGCUGGCUGUUUCUACAGCAGGAACACCUGUAAAGAUGUCUUAGCUGCAGAGCUGCUAGAGACCAGUACCAUUUUGAUCUCUACUGGGUAUCAGGUGUGGAUAUGGGCACCAUGAGGAAAAGGUUGAGAUUUCUGCCUUCCCUCUUCUGUUUAUCCUCAGUGUCUCUCCCAAAUGACAGCAGCAGUUUCUGAGCACCAGCGUAAGCUCGAGGGCCAAGCAUCCCAUUUUACAGAUGGGCCAACUGAAGUACCAACGUGAUAUUCCUCGUGUACUGGGGAUCAUGGAGCACAAGGCUUCAAUGGUUAUGACCUGAGUGUUUUAUAUAACACGUGGGUUAUUAUUCCCCAA